AACGAACGCUGGCGGCGUGUUUAAGACAUGCAAGUCGCACGGUGUCAUUUUGGUAGCAAUACUUGAAUGGCAUAGUGGCGCACGGGUGAGUAACACGUGAAUUACAUGCCCUGUAGAGGGGGAUAGCCCAGGGAAACUUGGAUUAAUACCCCAUGGUCUCGCAAGAGUAAAGGUGGCCGCAAGGCUGUCGCUACAGGAUUGGUUCGCGCCCUAUCAGCUUGUUGGCGGGGUAACGGCCCACCAAGGCUACGACGGGUAACUGGUCUGAGAGGGCACUCAGGCACACUGGAACUGAAACACGGUCCAUACACCUACGGGUUGCAGCAGGCGAGAAUAAUUCACAGUGGGGGCAACCCUGAUGGUGCAACGCCGCGUGGAGGAUGACGGUCUUCGGAUUGUAAACUCCUGUCAUCCGGGAGUAAGACCUGGGAGUUAAUAGCUCACAGGGUUGAUAGUACCGGAAGAGGAAGGGACGGCUAACUUCGUGCCAGCCGCCGCAGUAACAC
rnacentral:rRNA from 1 species